AGCACUUUGCUUAGAUUCUUCGGAUGAAGAGGAUUGUGACUGAGCGGCGGACGGGUGAGUAACGCGUGGGUAACCUGCCUCAUACAGGGGGAUAACAGUUAGAAAUGACUGCUAAUACCGCAUAAGACCACAGCACCGCAUGGUGCGGGGGUAAAAACUCCGGUGGUAUGAGAUGGACCCGCGUCUGAUUAGCUAGUUGGUAAGGUAACGGCCUACCAAGGCGACGAUCAGUAGCCGACCUGAGAGGGUGACCGGCCACAUUGGGACUGAGACACGGCCCAAACUCCUACGGGAGGCAGCAGUGGGGAAUAUUGCACAAUGGGGGAAACCCUGAUGCAGCGACGCCGCGUGAGCGAAGAAGUAUUUCGGUAUGUAAAGCUCUAUCAGCAGGGAAGAAAAUGACGGUACCUGACUAAGAAGCACCGGCUAAAUACGUGCCAGCAGCCGCGGUAAUACGUAUGGUGCAAGCGUUAUCCGGAUUUACUGGGUGUAAAGGGAGCGUAGACGGAUGGGCAAGUCUGAUGUGAAAACCCGGGGCUCAACCCCGGGACUGCAUUGGAAACUGUUCAUCUAGAGUGCUGGAGAGGUAAGUGGAAUUCCUAGUGUAGCGGUGAAAUGCGUAGAUAUUAGGAGGAACACCAGUGGCGAAGGCGGCUUACUGGACAGUAACUGACGUUGAGGCUCGAAAGCGUGGGG
rnacentral:rRNA from 1 species